rnacentral:sRNA from 12 species
UAAGCUCCACACAAGUAUUAACUUGAGCAUGAGGCCAUCACGAAGUUGAUGUAACACCAGUAGUUAAGAACUAGGGAUAGUUGGUAACUACAUUAGGUGU